rnacentral:rRNA from 1 species
GUAUUACCGCGGCUGCUGGCACGGAGUUAGCCCGGUGCUUCCUUUGAGGGUAUCGUCAAAUAACCAGGGGUAUUAACCCUAGCACCUUCUUCCCCUCUGACAGAGCUUUACGACCCAAAGGCCUUCAUCACUCACGCGGCGUUGCUGCGUCAGGGUUUCCCCCAUUGCGCAAUAUUCCCCACUGCUGCCUCCCGUAGGAGUCUGGUCCGUGUUCCAGUACCAGUGUGGCUGAUCAUCCUCUCAGACCAGCUAACCAUCGUUGCCUUGGUAAGCCGUUACCCUACCAACAAGCUAAUGGUCCGCGGGCCCAUCAAUCAGUGACAGCAUAGUAUAGAGGCCAUCUUUCUUCAAAUAAGCCGAAGCCUAAUUGAACGUAUCCGGUAUUAGCACCUCUUUCGAAGUGUUAUCCCAGGCUGAAGGGUAGGUUACCCACGUGUUACUCACCCGUGCGCCACUGUACUCAUUCUNCGAANAAAACUUUUCGUUAGACUUGCAUGUGUUAAGCACGCCCGCCAGCGUUCGUUCUGAGCCAGGAUCAAACUCUAAGGGCGAAUUCGUUUAAACCUGCAGGACUAG